rnacentral:rRNA from 1 species
UGAAUACGAGAUGCUACGGCGUCGAAGCAGUCUAUGUCAUACUUCCAAGAAAAGCUUGCACUGUCAUAAACAAAUAAUGCCUGUACCAUAACCGACACAGGUGGGUAGGUAGAGUAUACUAAGGGGCGCGAGAUAACUCUCUCUAAGGAACUCGGCAAAAUGACUCCGUAACUUCGGGAGAAGGAGUGCCUUAUUUAUAAGGUUGCAAUAACAAGAUCCAAGCAACUGUUUACCAAAAACACAGGUCUCCGCUAAGUCGUAAGACGAUGUAUGGGGGCUGACGCCUGCCCAGUGCCAGAAGGUUAAAGAAGUUGGUUAGCAUCCGCGAAGCUGAUAACUGAAGCCCUGGUGAACGGCGGCCGUAACGAUAACGGUCCUAAGGUAGCGAAAUUCCUUGUCGGGUAAGUUCCGACCCGCACGAAAGGCGUAAUGAUUUGGAUACUGUCUCGGAGAGGGGCUCGGUGAAAUAGACUUGUCUGUGAAGAUGCGGACUACCUGCACCAGGACAGAAAGACCCUAUGAAGCUUUACUGUAACCUGAAAUUGAAAUUGGACUUUACUUGCGCAGUAUAGGUGGGAGGCGUUGAGAAUAUUCUUGCGGGAUUAUUGGAGCCAUCAGUGAGAUACCACUCUUGUAAUGUUAGAUUUCUAACUUUGUAUCAUUAUCUGGUCAAAGAACAGUUUCAGGCGGGCAGUUUGACUGGGGCGGUCGCCUCCUAAACGGUAACGGAGGCGCACAAAGGUUUCCUCUGAACGGGUAGAAAUCGUAUCUAGAGUGUAAAGGCAUAAGGAAGCUUGACUGUGAGACCUACAAGUCGAGCAGGGACGAAAGUCGGUCUUAGUGAUCUGACGGUGCUGAGUGGAAAGGCCGUCACUCAACGGAUAAAAGUUACUCUAAGGAUAACAGGCUGAUCUCCCCCAAGAGUUCACAUCGACGGGGAGGUUUGGCACCUCGAUGUCGGCUCAUCGCAUCCUGGGGCGGUAGUACGUCCCAAGGGUUGGGCUGUUCGCCCAUGAAAGCGGUACGCGAGCUGGGUUCAGAACGUCGUGAGACAGUUCGGUCCAUAUCCGGUGUAGGCGUUAGAAUAUUGGGAGGAGCCUUCUUUAGUACGAGAGGACCGAGAAGGACAUACCUCUGGUGUACCAGUUAUCGUGCCAACGGUAAACGCUGGGUAGCUAUGUGUGGAGUGGAUAACCGCUGAAAGCAUCUAAGUGGGAAGCCCACCUCAAGAUAAGUAUUCUCGU